GCUUAACACAUGCAAGUCGAGGGGUAUAGUUCUUCGGAGCUAGAGACCGGCGCACGGGUGCGUAACAGCGUAUGCAAUCUACCUUAUACAGGGGAAUAGCCCAGAGAAAUUUGGAUUAAUGCCCCAUAGUGUUAUAGAAUCGCAUGGUUUUAUAACUUAAAGUUCCAACGGUAUAAGAUGAGCAUGCGUCCCAUUAGUUAGUUGGUAAGGUAACGGCUUACCAAGGCGAUGAUGGGUAGGGGUCCUGAGAGGGAGAUCCCCCACACUGGUACUGAGACACGGACCAGACUCCUACGGGAGGCAGCAGUGAGGAAUAUUGGUCAAUGGGCGCAAGCCUGAACCAGCCAUGCCGCGUGCAGGAAGAAUCAUCUAUGGUGUGUAAACUGCUUUUAUACAGGAAGAAACCUCCCUACGAGUAGGGACUUGACGGUACUGUAGGAAUAAGGAUCGGCUAACUCCGUGCCAGCAGCCGCGGGUAAUAC
rnacentral:rRNA from 1 species